rnacentral:misc_RNA from 1 species
GAUGAAGAACGCAGCGAAAUGCGAUAAGUAAUGUGAAUUGCAGAAUUCAGUGAAUCAUCGAAUCUUUGAACGCACAUUGCGCCCGCCAGCAUUCUGGCGGGCAUGCCUGUUCGAGCGUCAUUUCAACCCUCGAGCCCCCCCGGGGGCCUCGGUGUUGGGGGACGGCACACCAGCCGCCCCCGAAAUGCAGUGGCGACCCCGCCGCAGCCUCCCCUGCGUAGUAGCACACACCUCGCACCGGAGCGCGGAGGCGGUCACGCCGUAAAACGCCCAACUUUCUUAGAGUUGACCUCGGAUCAGGUAGGAAUACCCGCUGAACUUAAGCAUAUCAAUAAGAGGAGGA